GGCCAAUCAAACCGGGAGAUAGCUGGUUCUCCCCGAAAGCUAUUUAGGUAGCGCCUCGUGAAUUCAUCUCCGGGGGUAGAGCACUGUUUCGGCUAGGGGGCCAUCCCGGCUUACCAACCCGAUGCAAACUGCGAAUACCGGAGAAUGUUAUCACGGGAGACACACGGCGGGUGCUAACGUCCGUCGUGAAGAGGGAAACAACCCAGACCGCCAGCUAAGGUCCCAAAGUCAUGGUUAAGUGGGAAACGAUGUGGGAAGGCCCAGACAGCCAGGAUGUUGGCUUAGAAGCAGCCAUCAUUUAAAGAAAGCGUAAUAGCUCACUGGUCGAGUCGGCCUGCGCGGAAGAUGUAACGGGGCUAAACCAUGCACCGAAGCUGCGGCAGCGACGCUGAUGCGUUGUUGGGUAGGGGAGCGUUCUGUAAGCCUG
rnacentral:rRNA from 1 species